rnacentral:rRNA from 1 species
UACGUAGGGUGCAGGCGUUAAUCGGAAUUACUGGGCGUAAAGCGUGAGCAGGCGGCUCCUUAAGUCAGAUGUGAAAUCCCCGGGCUUAACCUGGGAACUGCGUUUGAAACUGGGGAGCUGGAGUGUAGAAGAGGGGGGUGGAAUUCCAGGUGUAGCAGUGAAAUGCGUAGAGAUCUGGAGGAACACCGAUGGCGAAGGCAGCCCCCUGGGCUAACACUGACGCUCAUGCACGAAAGCGUGGGGAGCAAACAGG